UACAGAGGGUGCGAGCGUUAAUCGGAAUUACUGGGCGUAAAGCGCACGUAGUCGGCUUUGCAAGUCGGGUGUGAAAUCCCCGGGCUCAACCUGGGAACUGCAUCCGAGACUGCAUUGCUAGAGUAUGGGAGAGGGAAGCGGAAUUUCUGGUGUAGCAGUGAAAUGCGUAGAUAUCAGAAGGAACAUCAGUGGCGAAGGCGGCUUCCUGGACCAAUACUAACGAUCAGGUGCGAAAGCGUGGGGAGCAAACAGG
rnacentral:rRNA from 1 species